rnacentral:rRNA from 1 species
CAGUAGCCGCGGGAAUACGUAGGUGGCAAGCGUUGUCCGGAAUUAUUGGGCGUAAAGCGCGCGCAGGCGGUUUCUUAAGUCUGAUGUGAAAGCCCCCGGCUUAACCGGGGAGGGUCAUUGGAAACUGGGAGACUUAGAGUGCAGAAGAGGAGAGUGGAAUUCCAUGUGUAGCGGUGAAAUGCGUAGAUAUAUGGAGGAACACCAGUGGCGAAGGCGACUCUCUGGUCUGCAACUGACGCUGAGGCACGAAAGCGUGGGGAGCAAACAGGAUUAGAUACCCCUGUAGUCCCUGUCUCUUAUA